AUUGAACGCUGGCGGCAGGCCUAACACAUGCAAGUCGAGCGGAUGAAGGGGGCUUGCUCCUGGAUUCAGCGGCGGACGGGCGAGUAAUGCCUAGGAACCUGCCUGGUAGUGGGGGAUAACGUCCGGAAACGGGCGCUCAUACCGCAUUCGUCCUGAGGGAGUACGUGGGGGAUCUUCGGACCUUACGCUAUCAGAUGAGCCUAGGUCGGAUUAGCUAGUUGGUGGGGUAAAGGCCUACCAAGGCGACGAUCCGUAACUGGUCUGAGAGGAUGAUCAGUCACACUGGAACUGAGACACGGUCCAGACUCCUACGGGAGGCAGCAGUGGGGAAUAUUGGACAAAGGGCGAAAGCCUGAUCCAGCCAUGCCGCGUGUGUGAAGAAGGUCUUCGGAUUGUAAAGCACUUUAAGUUGGGAGGAAGGGCAGUAAGUUAAUACCUUGCUGUUUUGACGGUACCAACAGAAUAAGCACCGGCUAACUUCGUG
rnacentral:rRNA from 1 species